AUAUCAAUAAGCGGAGGAAAAGAAACUAACAAGGAUUCCCCUAGUAACUGCGAGUGAAGCGGGAAAAGCUCAAAUUUAAAAUCUGGCGGUCUUUUGGCCGUCCGAGUUGUAGUCUGGAGAAGUGCUUUCCGCGCUGGACCGUGUACAAGUCUCUUGGAACAGAGCGUCAUAGAGGGUGAGAAUCCCGUCUUUGACACGGACUACCAGUGCUUUGUGAUGCGCUCUCAAAGAGUCGAGUUGUUUGGGAAUGCAGCUCUAAAUGGGUGGUAAAUUCCAUCUAAAGCUAAAUAUUGGCGAGAGACCGAUAGCGAACAAGUACCGUGAGGGAAAGAUGAAAAGCACUUUGGAAAGAGAGUUAAACAGUACGUGAAAUUGCUGAAAGGGAAACGCUUGAAGUCAGUCGCGUUGGCCGGGACUCAGCCUUGCUUUUUGCUUGGUGCAUUUUCCGGUUGACGGGCCAGCAUCGAUUUUGACCGUCGGAAAAGGGCUGGGGAAAUGUGGCACCUUCGGGUGUGUUAUAGUCUCUAGUCGCAUACGGCGGUCGGGAUCGAGGAACCGCAGCGCGCCGCAAGGCAGGGGUUCGCCCACUUUCGCGCUUAGGAUGCUGGCAUAAUGGCUUUAAACGACCCGUCUUGAAACACGGACCAAGGAGUCUAACUUACCUGCGAGUGUUUGGGUGGAAAACCCGAGCGCGUAAUGAAAGUGAAAGUUGAGACCUCUGUCGUGGAGGGCAUCGACGCCCGGACCUGACGUUCUCUGACGGAUCCGCGGUAGAGCAUGUAUGUUGGGACCCGAAAGAUGGUGAACUAUGCCUGAAUAGGGUGAAGCCAGAGGAAACUCUGGUGGAGGCUCGUAGCGAUUCUGACGUGCAAAUCGAUCGUCAAAUUUGGGUAUAGGGGCGAAAGACUAAUCGAACCAUCUAGUAGCUGG
rnacentral:rRNA from 1 species